GACGAACGCUGGCGGCGUGCUUAACACAUGCAAGUCGAACGGAAAGGCCCUGCUUUUGUGGGGUGCUCGAGUGGCGAACGGGUGAGUAACACGUGAGUAACCUGCCCUUGACUUUGGGAUAACUUCAGGAAACUGGGGCUAAUACCGGAUAGGAGCUCCUGCUGCAUGGUGGGGGUUGGAAAGUUUCGGCGGUUGGGGAUGGACUCGCGGCUUAUCAGCUUGUUGGUGGGGUAGUGGCUUACCAAGGCUUUGACGGGUAGCCGGCCUGAGAGGGUGACCGGCGACAUUGGGACUGAGAUACGGCGCAGACUCGUACGGGAGGCAGUAGGGGGGAAUAUGGCAGAAUGGGCGGAAGUCUGAUGCAGCAACGCCGCGUGCGGGAUGACGGGCUUCGGGUUGUAAACCGCUUUCGCCUGUGACGAAGCGUGAGUGACGGUAAUGGGUAAAGAAGCACCGGCUAACUACGUG
rnacentral:rRNA from 1 species